rnacentral:rRNA from 1 species
CCUACGGGUGGCAGCAGUGGGGGAUAUUGGACAAUGGGGGAAACCCUGAUCCAGCGACGCCGCGUGAGUGAAGAAGUAUUUCGGUAUGUAAAGCUCUAUCAGCAGGGAAGAAAGAAAUGACGGUACCUGAGUAAGAAGCCCCGGCUAACUACGUGCCAGCAGCCGCGGUAAUACGUAGGGAGCAAGCGUUAUCCGGAUUUAUUGGGUGUAAAGGGUGCGUAGACGGGAAGUCAAGUUGGUUGUGAAAUCCCUGGGCUUAACUGAGGAACUGCAACCAAAACUAACUUUCUUGAGUGCUGGAGAGGAAAGUGGAAUUCCUAGUGUAGCGGUGAAAUGCGUAGAUAUUAGGAGGAACACCAGUGGCGAAGGCGACUUUCUGGACAGUAACUGACGUUGAGGCACGAAAGUGUGGGGAGCAAACAGGAUUAGAUACCCCUGUAGUC